rnacentral:rRNA from 1 species
GUCGAGCGGACAGAAGGGAGCUUGCUCCCGGAUGUUAGCGGCGGACGGGUGAGUAACACGUGGGUAACCUGCCUGUAAGACUGGGAUAACUCCGGGAAACCGGAGCUAAUACCGGAUAGUUCCUUGAACCGCAUGGUUCAAGGAUGAAAGACGGUUUCGGCUGUCACUUACAGAUGGACCCGCGGCGCAUUAGCUAGUUGGUGAGGUAACGGCUCACCAAGGCGACGAUGCGUAGCCGACCUGAGAGGGUGAUCGGCCACACUGGGACUGAGACACGGCCCAGACUCCUACGGGAGGCAGCAGUAGGGAAUCUUCCGCAAUGGACGAAAGUCUGACGGAGCAACGCCGCGUGAGUGAUGAAGGUUUUCGGAUCGUAAAGCUCUGUUGUUAGGGAAGAACAAGUGCAAGAGUAACUGCUUGCACCUUGACGGUACCUAACCAGAAAGCCACGGCUAACUACGUGCCAGCAGCCGCGGUAAUACGUAGGUGGCAAGCGUUGUCCGGAAUUAUUGGGCGUAAAGGGCUCGCAGGCGGUUUCUUAAGUCUGAUGUGAAAGCCCCCGGCUCAACCGGGGAGGGUCAUUGGAAACUGGGAAACUUGAGUGCAGAAGAGGAGAGUGGAAUUCCACGUGUAGCGGUGAAAUGCGUAGAGAUGUGGAGGAACACCAGUGGCGAAGGCGACUCUCUGGUCUGUAACUGACGCUGAGGAGCGAAAGCGUGGGGAGCGAACAGGAUUAGAUACC